rnacentral:tRNA from 1 species
CCGCCGGUAGCGUAGUGGUUAUAGCACCACACCGGUAUUGUGGAGGUCGUGGGUUCGGAUCCCACCCGGCGGG